rnacentral:rRNA from 1 species
UGGGGAAUAUUGCGCAAUGGGCGAAAGCCUGACGCAGCGACGCCGCGUGAGGGAUGAAGGUUUUCGGAUUGUAAACCUCUGUCAGAAGGGAAGAAACUACGUUGUGCUAAUCAGCAGCGUACCGACGGUACCUUCAAAGGAAGCACCGGCUAACUCCGUGCCAGCAGCCGCGGUAAUACGGAGGGUGCAAGCGUUAAUCGGAAUUACUGGGCGUAAAGCGCACGUAGGCUGUAGUGUAAGUCAGGGGUGAAAUCCCACGGCUCAACCGUGGAACUGCCUUUGAUACUGCACAACUUGAAUCCGGGAGAGGGUGGCGGAAUUCCAGGUGUAGGAGUGAAAUCCGUAGAUAUCUGGAGGAACAUCAGUGGCGAAGGCGGCCACCUGG